AAUGUAACGACAUUUACUAACAAUGCGCAGAAACGAUACAGAGAAGGUUAGUUCGAACGACACUAAUAACCCGAUCACAAUACUGACCGAAUAUAGAUUAGCAUGGCCCCUGCACUAAGGAUGACACGCUCAAUCAAAGAGAAGCUACCAAUUUUU